rnacentral:RNase_P_RNA from 1 species
UGAGUAAAUCACCUUAUCGCUGUUUCGAUGUAUCGAGAUGGAGGAAAGUCCGAACACCAUAGUGCAAUCAUAGUGGUUAACAGCCAUCCGCCGAGAGGUGAGGAAAAGUGCAACAGAAAGAAUGUACAGGUCAUGCUGUAGUGAAAUCAGGUAAACUCUAUGUGGUGCAAUGUCAUGUAUACUAGUGUUUGAGCGUGCACGCGCGAUGCUAGAGGGUAGACAGCUAAAGUUUACUGGUAACAGUAAACGCAGAUAAAUGAUAAGGAUACUUGCGAGAUUUAUCUUGUUGGUUUACAGAAUUCGGCUUAUCGAUUUACUUAUUCA